rnacentral:rRNA from 1 species
UUGAACGCUGGCGGCAUGCCUUACACAUGCAAGUCGAACGGUAGAGGGGCAACCCUUGAGAGUGGCGAACGGGUGAGUAAUGCAUCGGAACGUGCCCAGUCGUGGGGGAUAACGCAGCGAAAGCUGUGCUAAUACCGCAUGUGAUCUGUGGAUGAAAGCAGGGGACCGCAAGGCCUUGUGCGAUUGGAGCGGCCGGUGUCAGAUUAGCUAGUUGGUAGGGUAAAAGC